rnacentral:rRNA from 1 species
GACGAACGCUGGCGGCGUGCCUAAUACAUGCAAGUCGAACGCAUUUUCUUUCACCGUAGCUUGCUACACCGAAAGAAAAUGAGUGGCGAACGGGUGAGUAACACGUGGGUAACCUGCCCAUCAGCGGGGGAUAACACUUGGAAACAGGUGCUAAUACCGCAUAAUUCCAUUUACCGCAUGGUAGAUGGGUGAAAGGCGCUUUUGCGUCACUGAUGGAUGGACCCGCGGUGCAUUAGCUAGUUGGUGGGGUAACGGCCUACCAAGGCUGCGAUGCAUAGCCGACCUGAGAGGGGGAUCGGCCACACUGGGACUGAGACACGGCCCAGACUCCUACGGGAGGCAGCAGUAGGGAAUCUUCGGCAAUGGACGCAAGUCUGACCGAGCAACGCCGCGUGAGUGAAGAAGGUUUUCGGAUCGUAAAACUCUGUUGUUAGAGAAGAACAAGGAUGAGAGUGGAAAGUUCAUCCCUUGACGGUAUCUAACCAGAAAGCCACGGCUAACUACGUG